rnacentral:rRNA from 1 species
CGAGGGCGAAAGCCGUAGUCGAUGGGAAACGGGUUAAUAUUCCCGUACCGACAGUACUGCGAUGGGGGGACGGAGAAGGCUAGGCAGGCAUGGCGUUGGUAGUCCAUGUGAAAGUAUGUAGGUUGGACGUUUAGGAAAAUCCGGAUGUCUAAGACUGAGAUACGAGACGAGCCACUACGGUGGUGAAGCUGUUGAUGCCACGCUUCCAGGAAAAGCCUCUAAGCUUCAGGUACUGUUGACCGUACUCGAAACCGACACAGGUGGUCAGGUAGAGAAUACCAAGGCGCUUGAGAGAACUCUGGUGAAGGAACUAGGCAAAAUAGUACCGUAACUUCGGGAGAAGGUACGCUCUUACGUGUGAAUGACUUGCUCAGUAAGCAUGUGAGAGUCGCAGUGACCAGCUGGCUGCAACUGUUUAUUAAAAACACAGCACUCUGCAAACUCGAGAGAGGACGUAUAGGGUGUGACACCUGCCCGGUGCCGGAAGGUUAAUUGAUGGGGUUAGCGCAAGCGAAGCUCUUGAUCGAAGCCCCGGUAAACGGCGGCCGUAACUAUAACGGUCCUAAGGUAGCGAAAUUCCUUGUCGGGUAAGUUCCGACCUGCACGAAUGGUGUAAUGAUGGCCAGGCUGUCUCCACCAGAGACUCAGUGAAAUUGAAAUUGCGGUGAAGAUGCCGUAUACCCGCGGCUAGACGGAAAGACCCCGUGAACCUUUACUAUAGCUUGGCACUGAACAUUGACCCUACAUGUGUAGGAUAGGUGGGAGGCUUUGAAGAUGAGACGCCAGUCUUGUUGGAGCCGUCCUUGAAAUACCACCCUUGUAUGUUUGAUGUUCUAACGUAGGUCCCUGAAUCGGGAUUGCGGACAGUGUCUGGUGGGUAGUUUGACUGGGGCGGUCUCCUCCUAAAGAGUAACGGAGGAGCACGAAGGUUGGCUAAGUACGGUCGGACAUCGUACGGUUAGUGCAAAGGCAGAAGCCAGCUUAACUGCGAGACAGACACGUCGAGCAGGUACGAAAGUAGGUCUUAGUGAUCCGGUGGUUCUGUAUGGAAGGGCCAUCGCUCAACGGAUAAAAGGUACUCCGGGGAUAACAGGCUGAUACCGCCCAAGAGUUCAUAUCGACGGCGGUGUUUGGCACCUCGAUGUCGGCUCAUCACAUCCUGGGGCUGAAGUCGGUCCCAAGGGUAUGGCUGUUCGCCAUUUAAAGUGGUACGCGAGCUGGGUUUAGAACGUCGUGAGACAGUUCGGUCCCUAUCUGCCGUGGGCGUUGGAUGAUUGAGUGGAGUUGCUCCUAGUACGAGAGGACCGGAGUGAACGAACCGCUGGUGUUCGGGUUGUCAUGCCAAUGGCACUGCCCGGUAGCUACGUUCGGAACGGAUAACCGCUGAAAGCAUCUAAGCGGGAAGCCGGCCAAGAGAUGAGUCAUCCCUUGUGCCUUGAGCACACAUAAGGGUCGUUGGAGACCACAACGUUGAUAGGUGAGGUGUGGAAGCGUGGUGACACGUUAAGCUAACUCAUACUAAUUGCCCGAGAGGCUUAACCAU